GUAUCUACUUAAUGCGACCAACGGUCAUAGAUACCAGGAAGUUACCAAAGUAGUUAUACUAGGCGGGUUCUGACUCAAACAAUAGAUUGGGGGGAAAAGUGGAAGAAGGAAGGACGGAUGACGUCACCCGGAAGGAAUGGAGUUACAACAAUAGUUACAACCAUAGUCACCAUGCCCAUUACUACUACUACUAUCAAGACUUGGAGGGGCGCAUUGUAUAAGAAGACCUCCAACAUCGCCCCAUAUCAGUCGCUUAUUACAAAGCUUCAAUAUCCUCACUACAGUCUCUCAUUACGGACAGCAAAGGUUCCCGACAACGUUGACUGCUGGAGUCAAUCGGUGAAAGACGGAUUUCUCGACUAUGAUCUAUUACGUUCCAAUCCAGAAAAACGAAGCGUGCGAUAAACCAACAAUAUCGCGCCAUACUCCCCGCAUCUUAAGAAGAUUUCUACUUA